rnacentral:rRNA from 1 species
UGCAGUCGAGCGGAUCUUCAUUAGCUUGCUUUUGAAGAUCAGCGGCGGACGGGUGAGUAACACGUGGGCAACCUGCCUGUAAGACUGGGAUAACUUCGGGAAACCGGAGCUAAUACCGGAUAAUCCUUUCCCUCACAUGAGGGAAAGCUGAAAGACGGUUUCGGCUGUCACUUACAGAUGGGCCCGCGGCGCAUUAGCUAGUUGGUGAGGUAACGGCUCACCAAGGCAACGAUGCGUAGCCGACCUGAGAGGGUGAUCGGCCACACUGGGACUGAGACACGGCCCAGACUCCUACGGGAGGCAGCAGUAGGGAAUCUUCCGCAAUGGACGAAAGUCUGACGGAGCAACGCCGCGUGAACGAUGAAGGCUUUCGGGUCGUAAAGUUCUGUUGUCAGGGAAGAACAAGUACCGGAGUAACUGCCGGUACCUUGACGGUACCUGACCAGAAAGCCACGGCUAACUACGUGCCAGCAGCCGCGGUAAUACGUAGGUGGCAAGCGUUGUCCGGAAUUAUUGGGCGUAAAGCGCGCGCAGGCGGUUCCUUAAGUCUGAUGUGAAAGCCCCCGGCUCAACCGGGGAGGGUCAUUGGAAACUGGGGAACUUGAGUGCAGAAGAGGAGAGCGGAAUUCCACGUGUAGCGGUGAAAUGCGUAGAGAUGUGGAGGAACACCAGUGGCGAAGGCGGCUCUCUGGUCUGUAACUGACGCUGAGGCGCGAAAGCGUGGGGAGCGAACAGGAUUAGAUACCCUGG